rnacentral:rRNA from 1 species
UUGAGACAGGUGGUGGCAUGGUUGUCGUCAGCUCGUGUCGUGAGAUGUUGGGUUAAGUCCCGCAACGAGCGCAACCUUGUGUUUAGUUUGCAAACAGGUCAAGCUGUGCACUCUAGACAGACUGCCGUGGACAACACGGAGGAAGGUGGGGAUGACGUCAAAUCAUCAUGCCCCUUAUGAUCUGGGCUACACACGUGCUACAAUGGCCGGUACAACGGGCAGCGAAGGAGCGAUCCGGAGCGAAUCCUAAAAAGCCGGUCCCAGUUCGGAUUGCAGGCUGAAACUCGCCUACAUGAAGUUGGAGUUGCUAGUAAUCGCGAAUCAGAAUGUCGCGGUGAAUGCGUUCCCGGGUCUU